GUGCUGCUGCCUGUGAAAUGGUUCUGUUCUACAAAGAUAUCCUCAUUCUAGUGAGUUUACUGGAGAAGAUUAUCAUCCCAGGGAGAUGAUUCGCAGCAGUGUCUGUGUUGUGUCUGAAAUUGGCUAAAUUUCACCGAGUCUGGGAGGGGGAUCUGUGAGAGGCAAUCGAUUUAAAAUUGCCACCGAGCGGGGAGAGUGCAAUUGAUGUCAAGGCUGCUCAGAAAUGAGUUUUCUUGGCUUUCCGAUUGAAAUGACGUGGAGCCAUUGUGACUGGAGGCAGAGUGGAGCCGGGCAAGGACCUAUUAUCGAGUACCCCAAGCCUGAGCAGAGCAGUUCAGAUACAGAAUCUGUGCCCUCUCCCCCCACCCUGCCCUCCCCAAACAUUGCCAGAGUGGGUCAGAGCAUCUGCUUUCCAGAGGUCUCUUCACUGGAGACAGCCAAUUAGAAUGCUCUCUCUUUGCAUGGUCUGCAGGGAGCUGGAGGAGGCACCCAGCCGCACCUGUCAAUAUUUACUGUUCUAACAAAAUACAUCAUUCAUUGCCAUCUGCUCUCCGGCAGCACGCGUAGGGGCGCUGCUGCUGCAAAAUUAAUAGCACUUCUAAUGCUCCUUUCCUAAUGGGCUUAAUCAAUUAAUCAGCCAUUCGCAAUCUGGAGGCACCAUUAACCAGUGCAUAGAUCCCUAAUGCUGUCAAAAGAUAUGAGUUUGCUCCACCGCAGUAACAAACUCAAAAUGAACGCGUGCCUUUUCUGCGGCUGCUUCAGGUACGUAACUGUAUCUCUGCAUAAACAUG